AUCAGAUCCAUGUAAUUUGAUGUUUUUAUGCAACAAAACUGAUAACUGACAAUCUGUGACAUAAGUUGAAGAAUUGUCAUCAUUAUCAAUGUAAAUUGUUUAGGUCUUAGUUCUUCCAUAAAUUUGCCUGCAGAAAUAUGUAUCGCAAUAGUUGCUGAAAACUUGAGCUGUGAAAGAGUAUCACUAUUUGAUGAAACUUAGCAGUCUAAUAUAAGCCUUGAGAUGUCUUUGGAUUAUUCUUCAGUCAAUGUGAGUUUUCUUACAAAUUAUAAUUUAUAUACAAGUUAAUUAUGUCAAACGAAUAUUAUUUUUAUAUAUGUAUGGCCAUUAUUAUAUCAAUUUUUGUUAUCUAGUUACCAAGUCGAUCCAGAACAAUUAACUCCACUGUCAAAAACUAGCUGUGAAAAUUUUACAAUUCAAGUAAUUUUAAUAUCCAUAAGUAAUAUCAGGUGUAUUUUAUUUAUUCGUAAUUAAAAUUUGUGUACUGUCUCUGAUGAGAAUAAAUCAAAACGACUGCUAUUGAAGUGCGGUGUUAUUUGGUGUAAAUAAAAUAUUGUUGUUAUUAUCUUAUUAUUGAUGAUGCCUUUGAUAUACUAUUGGAUUGGUUUACUUUGUUAGGUAUCUACUACCAUAGAAUAGUUGUCACUGUAUGCUUACUAUCUAUAUCCAGGGACGGACACAAAUACAAAAUGUGUAGGUAUUUUAUUAUAACUCUGAUUUAAUAUUAUCAUAAUAAUUGUAACAUUUUUAGAAAGUGGUUGUCUAUUUAAAGUAAAAUCUAAAAACAUUGCUAUUUAUCUAGGUACUAUAUAGGUAUUAAAUUAUUGUAUUAUAAAAUGACAUAUAUAUUGACAAAGCAUCACUCUGCUCAGAACCUUUUUUUAAAAAAUAGUUUAUUGUUGCUUACAGGUAUACAUUAAAUUAUCUAUAACAUUGUCUGCACCUGUCCCCAUUACCCUAGGAAGUCUUUUUAAAGUCAAAUUUAUCUCAACAUUUAUCCUUGAAUUAAAAUUGUAGUAUAUUAUUAUAAUAUUAUAUAUAUGAUAUUAAGAAUUUCAUUUAGUGAAAAAUUGAACUACUGAUAACAGCAAUGGAAAGUUAAUAAAUCGCUGGUUAACAUCUAUAAUAAAUAAUAAUGUGGCUAUCAAUUUAAAUGUUGAGGAAAAAGAAUUUAUACAUUACAAAAGGUCAAUUUAACUAAAUGUCUUAUUUAUUUUUCUGUGUGUUCUAAAAUUGUAU